rnacentral:rRNA from 1 species
UAGGGAAUCUUCGGCAAUGGGGGGAACCCUGACCGAGCAACGCCGCGUGAGUGAAGAAGGUUUUCGGAUCGUAAAGCUCUGUUGUUAAGGAAGAACGAGUGUGAGAAUGGAAAGUUCAUACUGUGACGGUACUUAACCAGAAAGGGACGGCUAACUACGUGCCAGCAGCCGCGGUAAUACGUAGGUCCCGAGCGUUGUCCGGAUUUAUUGGGCGUAAAGCGAGCGCAGGCGGUUAGAUAAGUCUGAAGUUAAAGGCAGUGGCUCAACCAUUGUAGGCUUUGGAAACUGUUUAACUUGAGUGCAGAAGGGGAGAGUGGAAUUCCAUGUGUAGCGGUGAAAUGCGUAGAUAUAUGGAGGAACACCGGUGGCGAAAGCGGCUCUCUGGUCUGUAACUGACGCUGAGGCUCGAAAGCGUGGGGAGAGAACAGG